rnacentral:rRNA from 1 species
AAUAGUCUUUUAAUUGAGGACUGGAAUGAAUGAUCGCACAAAAAAAAAUCUGUCUUUUUUAUAAAAAUUGAAUUUUACUUUUAAGUGAAAAGGCUUAAAUAAUUUAAGGGGACGAAAAGACCCUUUAAAGCUUUAUAAGAUAAGAGUAGUAUAAUUAUUGGAAGUGAAAAUUAAUUAUUUUGCUUUUUGUUUCAUUGGGGCGAUGAAGAUAGAAUAAAAUAACUGUCUUGUAUAUGAAAUAAUUAUAAUUAGGAAAAGUGAGCCUUAUUUGAGGAUUAUAAGAGAAAGUUACUUUAGGGAUAACAGCGUAAUUUUUUUUAAGAGUUCAUAUCGAUGAAAUUAGUUGCGACCUCGAUGUUGAAUUAAGAUAAAAUUAGGAAGCAGCAUUUUUAUUAGUAAGUCUGUUCGACUUUUAAAAUCUUA